rnacentral:tRNA from 9 species
GCGGAGAUGAAGCAAGAGUGGCUUAUUAGGUUCAUACCCUAAAAAUCAGUGAGUGCAACUCUCACCUCCGCCACCA